rnacentral:misc_RNA from 1 species
UCACGAAUUUUUGAACGCACAUUGCGCCCGGUGGUAUUCCGCCGGGCAUGCCUGUUCGAGCGUCAUUUAAACCAAUCCAGCCUCGUGCUUGGGUCUUGGGCCUUUCGCCUCUGGGCGGGCCUCAAAAUCAGUGGCGGUGCCUUCUGGCUCUAAGCGUAGUAAUACUCCUCGCUAUAGACGUUAGGUGGUAUCUUGCCAACAACCCCCAAUUUUUUAAGGUUGACCUCGGAUCAGGUAGGGAUACCCGCUGAACUUAAG